rnacentral:misc_RNA from 1 species
GAUGAAGAACGCAGCGAAAUGCGAUACGUAAUGUGAAUUGCAGAAUUCAGUGAAUCAUCGAGUCUUUGAACGCACAUUGCGCCCCCUGGUAUUCCGGGGGGCAUGCCUGUCCGAGCGUCAUUGCUGCCCUCAAGCACGGCUUGUGUGUUGGGCCUCCGUCCUCCUCCCGGGGGACGGGCCCGAAAGGCAGCGGCGGCACCGCGUCCGGUCCUCGAGCGUAUGGGGCUUCGUCACCCGCUCUUGUAGGCCCGGCCGGCGCCAGCCGACACCCAACUUUAUUUCUAAGGUUGACCUCGGAUCAGGUAGGGAUACCCGCUGAACUUAAGCAUAUCAAUAAGCGGAGGA